rnacentral:piRNA from 1 species
UGUUCCUUCACUUUCCUGGUAUCU